CACAGAGCGCCGGCCGAUGACGCAGCCGAGCUACAGUCGACUGAAGCUAACAAACAAAACACAAAAUGUCCAGGAUGUUGAGGUUGACUACAGAAAGUCUGGGUUCAGAAAAACUGCCUCAAAAUGUUCAUGUGCUGUUAAACUCUAGACAUGAAACAAACUAACGUGAUCAGCUUAUGAUCUACUCGCUAACACCAGUAGCAGGAGCUAACGCCGUUAGCAGGAGUUAGCAUCAGUUAUCAUCAGUAGCUAACUAAAUCAAAACAAAUUGAAAGCGUGAGGAUGAAAUGAAAGCAGCCGGUGGAGGUAUUGACCUGAGGAGCCUCUCUACUGCCGACAGUUACAGAGCUGAGCCUGAAUGAAUAACGACAUAUUGAUCAGAACUGAAGGCGACUUUCUGCCUGGAGGCCAAAACCAGAAUCUGGAUGUUUGGAGUUUCCACCAGGAGCAGCGGGAAGGCGGCGGGUCGGCCGACUGUCUAGACAGACUGCGCUGGUUCCACUUCCACAAAUAGAAAAUGACCUGGAAUAUCUGCCCAGACCACACACACACACACACACACACACACACACAUCCAGGAUUCCCUCUCCUUCACCAAACUGUCUGCAGCAACACUCAGGUUUCAGCCUCAGUGCAGACAUUAUGCUGAUAUAAUGGCUUUAUGGAUGAGUUCUUUAAAAUACAAAACUAAAGUUAUAAAUUAAACCGAGGAGAUCCAGGCAGAUUCUCACAUUACUGCUUCACUUGAAAAACUCAAGAAACCCGAGAAAAAUCAGGUGGUGAUGAAAUAUUUAAGCCAGAAGUGUGUUUCUCAAAGGAUUCCUGCUGCUGCAAGAUUUAUUCCUCCCAUAAAUAAAAGAAGUUCACAAGCGAAAGGUCUCACUUCUUCAGAAAGAGGCGAGUUACUUAAAAAAAACCUGUCUGGUAAACAUUCAAACCUGAUUCGAGCAGUUUUAGGAAUUCCUAUUAAUACUUUAUAAAAUCACCAGGAAAAAUAAAUGAAGUCAGAAAGCAGCAGCAGGAAAAGACAAAUCAGAUCCAGCCUGGUGGUUCUGAUCGGGGAGCGUUCUUCUUCAUGGGUUUUUCUCAGUCAGAUGUUCAUUUUGUUGUUUGGUUAUGUUUGUUUUAAAGUUUUGUUUGUUUUAAUUUUCGCUGAAUGGAAUAAAAAUCCAGUCAGAAGCA